UUCUAUGUAUUUUAAUUUUGACUUAUAGUAUGUAUUAUGUGACAGCCCUUCAAGCUACGGUCGUAAUAAAUCAGUAUGUAUUGGAAAAGCUGCACUACCCACAAAAAAAGUAUGGACACAGUGAAUUUGAGUUCGGUAUAGUGGAUGGUUAUGAUAUACCUAAUUUGUUACUAAACAGCCGUCGAUCAAACGACGAAUUCAUCACAAUCCUUCCAUUCUUUCGGGAACAUUAAGCUUCGUAAGGCCGUAAAAAUGUGAUUUGCAUCGCAGAUUCUCCUCAAUACACUGCUAAGUUGUGUCAUAUAAUUUCGUUAACAAUUUUGCGUACAGUUGAAAAGCCUAUUUUAAAUGAGAGAGACAGAUGCUGUAUGAUAUCACCAUGAGCGUGAGAAAAAUUCUGAUAUUCGAGAAAUGCGAACAGAUUACACCAUGCACUAUUUUGUAAUAUAUAAAAAACAACCAAUAUUUUGAUGAAAUUGU